GGAGAGUAAAGUGAUCUGGUGACACUCGCGGACUUCAAAUCCGAUGACGGAGCGGUUGACCGUUUUGUGGGGAGUUCGAUUCUCUCACUCUCUC
rnacentral:tRNA from 1 species